UACGUAGGGGGCGAGCGUUGUCCGGAUUUAUUGGGCGUAAAGCGAGCGCAGGUGGUUUAUUAAGUCUGGUGUAAAAGGCAGUGGCUCAACCAUUGUAUGCAUUGGAAACUGGUAGACUUGAGUGCAGGAGUGGAGAGUGGAAUUCCAUGUGUAGCGGUGAAAUGCGUAGAUAUAUGGAGGAACACCGGUGGCGAAAGCGGCUCUCUGGCCUGUAACUGACACUGAGGCUCGAAAGCGUGGGGAGCAAACAGG
rnacentral:rRNA from 1 species